AAAUUGAAGAGUUUGAUCAUGGCUCAGAUUGAACGCUGGCGGCAGGCCUAACACAUGCAAGUCGAACGGUAACAGGAAGAAGCUUGCUUCUUUGCUGACGAGUGGCGGACGGGUGAGUAAUGUCUGGGAAACUGCCUGAUGGAGGGGGAUAACUACUGGAAACGGUAGCUAAUACCGCAUAACGUCGCAAGACCAAAGAGGGGGACCUUCGGGCCUCUUGCCAUCGGAUGUGCCCAGAUGGGAUUAGCUAGUAGGUGGGGUAAAGGCUCACCUAGGCGACGAUCCCUAGCUGGUCUGAGAGGAUGACCAGCCACACUGGAACUGAGACACGGUCCAGACUCCUACGGGAGGCAGCAGUGGGGAAUAUUGCACAAUGGGCGCAAGCCUGAUGCAGCCAUGCCGCGUGUAUGAAGAAGGCCUUCGGGUUGUAAAGUACUUUCAGCGGGGAGGAAGGGAGUAAAGUUAAUACCUUUGCUCAUUGACGUUACCCGCAGAAGAAGCACCGGCUAACUCCGUGCCAGCAGCCGCGGUAAUACGGAGGGUGCAAGCGUUAAUCGGAAUUACUGGGCGUAAAGCGCACGCAGGCGGUUUGUUAAGUCAGAUGUGAAAUCCCCGGGCUCAACCUGGGAACUGCAUCUGA
rnacentral:rRNA from 1 species